rnacentral:rRNA from 1 species
UACAGAGGUCUCAAGCGUUUGUUCGGAUUCAUUGGGCGUAAAGGGUGCGUAGGCGGCGCGGUAAGUCGGGUGUGAAAUCUCGGAGCUUAACUCCGAAACUGCAUUCGAUACUGCCGUGCUUGAGGACUGGAGAGGAGACUGGAAUUUACGGUGUAGCGGUGAAAUGCGUAGAUAUCGUAAGGAAGACCAGUGGCGAAGGCGGGUCUCGUGGACAGUUCCUGACGCUGGAGGCACAAAGGCCAGGGGAGCAAACGGG